rnacentral:rRNA from 1 species
GUGCCAGCAGCCGCGGUAAUACAGAGGUCUCAAGCGUUGUUCGGAUUUACUGGGCGUAAAGGGUGCGUAGGCUGUUUUGUAAGUCUGAUGUGAAAUUUUGUGGCUCAACUACAAAAGCGCAUUGGAAACUACAAAGCUAGAGGACUGGAGGGGAAGUCGGAAUUCUCGGUGUAGCAGUGAAAUGCGUAGAUAUCGAGAGGAACACCAGUGGCGAAGGCGGACUUCUAGACAGUUCCUGACGCUGAAGCACGAAAGCUAGGGGAGCAAACAGGAUUAGAAACCCUGGUAGUCC